rnacentral:rRNA from 1 species
AGAGUUUGAUUCUGGCUCAGAACGAACGCUGGCGGCGUGGAUAAGACAUGCAAGUCGAACGCUGACUUCAAGGUAGCAAUAUUUUGGAGUCGGAGUGGCGCAAGGGUGCGUAACACGUGGGUAAUUUGCCGUGAAGACUGGGAUAACUUGCUGAAAGGCGAGCUAAUACCGGAUGUGAAUUUUCGAGGGCAUCUUUGGAAAUUCAAAGUUGGGGACCGCAAGGCCUGACGCUUUACGAUAAGCCCGCGGCCUAUCAGCUAGUUGGUGAGGUAACGGCUCACCAAGGCUAAGACGGGUAGCUGGUCUGAGAGGACGACCAGCCACACUGGAACUGAGACACGGUCCAGACACCUACGGGUGGCAGCAGUCGAGAAUUUUUCUCAAUGGGGGAAACCCUGAAGGAGCGACGCCGCGUGAGGGAUGAAGGUCUUCGGAUUGUAAACUUCUGUCAUUAGAGAACAAGUGUCACCGAGUAACUACCGGUGGCUUGAUAGUAUCAGAAGAGGAAGGGACGGCUAACUCUGUGCCAGCAGCCGCGGUAAUACAGAGGUCCCAAGCGUUGUUCGGAUUCACUGGGCGUAAAGGGUGCGUAGGUGGUCGGGUAAGUCUGUUGUGAAAUCUCCGAGCUUAACUCGGAAAUGGCAGUGGAUACUAUCCGGCUAGAGGAAUGGAGGGGAGACUGGAAUACUUGGUGUAGCAGUGAAAUGCGUAGAUAUCAAGUGGAACACCAGUGGCGAAGGCGAGUCUCUGGACAUUUCCUGACGCUGAGGCACGAAAGCCAGGGGAGCAAACGGGAUUAGAUACCCCGGUAGUCCUGGCCCUAAACGGUGCACGUUUGCUGUAAGUGGAAUCGACCCCACUUGUGGCGUAGUUAACACGAUAAACGUGCCGCCUGGGAAGUACGGCCGCAAGGUUAAAACUCAAAGAAAUUGACGGGGGCCUGCACAAGCGGUGGAGUAUGUGGCUUAAUUCGAUGCAACGCGAAGAACCUUACCU